CUCCUACCACCCCUCUGUUCUUCUCUCAUCUCUGAACUGUCGCCGCCGCCGUGCUGCUUUGGGUUCUUCUCCCUCCCCCACCAGGCCACCACCAGUACCCUCUCUCUCUCUCUCUCUCUCUCUCUCUCUCCUAUCACCUGUUGUCUUUCCGAGUUUUCUUUUGCCCUUUUCCCUUUUUUGGUUAGCGUGACGAAACUGCCCCUAGUGGUCAGCAAAAAUCCUUUCUCCAAGUCACUCCAACACCACCUCAAAUCCACACUUCCUAACGACCAAACGCUCACCUCGUCUCUCCAUGAUUUUGAAUUCUUGGUUUGCUUGAUGGGGACGUCAAGUUCCGGCUCACGUUUCGCUUCGCAGAUCCGCAUUCUCGUUCCUGCCUCUCUUUACCUUUGAAAUUUCCAAAUUCUGCGUUGGAUAUUCGAUACUUACAACGAAACAAAAAAAAAGAGUCCUUCACCUUUUUUUUUCAUGGUGUCUGUGCGUGUGUUUUCUUUAAUUCAUUCAUUAAUUUAUUCAUUUAUGCGCCGGUGGUUGACUCUUACUCGGAUGAGGGGUAAUUAGGGCAAGUCAUGGAAGCCGGUGGGUGCGGCCAGAGCUGGGCCUUCCAUGGCUUCCGUGCCGCCAGGUUUGCCAGAGCUGCCCCUGGCCUUGCCAGAAGAGGUCCCCCACGGAGCGCUGCUUUUCCCCGGGGGCAGUCCGGUCAUUUUCAGCCGUUCGUCCUUUUUAUCCCCCGGCGCAAUUGCUCGUGUGGUGGGAGCGUGGCGUGGAGCCUGUGGGCCCCCCCUCCCUACUCGGGUUGAGCGGAGAGUGGAGGGAGACGGAGUCAAAUGCGGGAGUUAAAACGCGGCGCGACGGGGUGGGUGGAGACGGCGCGCGCGACACGUGACGUGGGGGACGCCCGCCCACCGGCCGCGAGCGCGACGAGCCGGAGCUGAGCUGCCCCGGCGCCGCCGUCUGUCGGCGUCGGUGGCUAUGGCCGAUUGGCCGCGGCGAGGCGAGGCGUGGACGUACGGCGCCGCCGCGGAGUGCGCUAGGUGGUUCUCUUGCGUGGCGUGGACACCUGGUCCCACCUGUCGUAUGGUCCUUCCUGGCUGGAGAGUGGGCCCCUCUUCUCCUUUGAACGAAGGGCCCCUGGACCGGACCGCUGGACGUGGUGGGGGUUCAGCUGCGGCGGAUGGUUGGUUAGUUUGGCGGAUGUGUUUCUUUUGCCUAACUAAAAAUGGGGCAUCCAUGGAUGAAAGAAAUCGUUCGGGAAUGGCAAAUCUGCAAGAAGGCACCAUGUAUGUGUUUCCGGAUUUUUUUAGUUAUUUGCCACUCUUAAGUGUGCCAAUCCUGUGUCAAUGACAUGUGGGACCAUAUGAGUCACUGACAUGUGGGUCAGGAAUGACAAAUCUGCAAGAACGCACCGUAAGGAUGGCAUGUUGGUGGCAAAUAACUAAAAAGCCCAGCUCGCUGGAGUGGAGGAUUGAGGCUUCCCUCGCUGGAGUGGAGGAUUGAGGCUGAGGGAGAAGUACAAUAAUGGAUGGCUCUGUCGUGCGUGUGUCAUCAUGUGGUUCCCCCUAUUGGUGGGUGGAUGUGGAUAUUCAUUCAUUCUAGCUGGGGGUUAGGAGGGAGGGGCGGAUCGGGAGCCAUUCCCUAAGCAUGCCUAUGUCGUGGCUCGUUUUCUUUUUCUGGUAGUGUAUAGUAUCAUCAGUGUCGCUGCUCUGUCUGUGCUUGCGCGCUUGUGUUCUGUGUUGUUUUCUGCGAUAGCUGCUGCGUGAUUCUGAAUCCGUGAUCUCGUUGGACAGCUGUUGUGGGAGGUGGGCGCCAUCGAACGGCCGCAGCUUAUUACCUUUCCGACCCCGCUUCCACGCCCCACGGGCCAGCGACCACGGAAGAAACUGAGGCUGCCGGAGAUCCAGCAGCUGGUGCGGUCUCUCGCUGUGGAGAAUGAGAGCCUCCGCCAGGAGAUGCGGGAUUUACAGAGAGCUUGCAAGGCGCUGUCAAAAGAAAAUGACAAGCUUGAGACAACGUUAGGGCAAUCGAACUCUCAGAAUGAAAUCACUUCAAAGGAGCAGAAAGGAAAGGAACAGCUUGAUCAGCAGUCAGUUACACAGUCCUCACGAGACAGCUUCGCGCUACCAGAUCUGAACCUUCCCCCAGAGGACUCUGCCGAUGUUUCAACAGUUCAUUGAUCACUCCAGAUUGCUGCAACUUUGUUAACCGAAUAACAAGUGUACAUAGAGGAAGCAGGGUAGCGGUCUAGGUGGCGGCACAACCACGUCAUCCUAAAGAGAAUGACACGUAUUUGAUAAUUUGUUACUAGAUCACAGAAUUUUACUACCACUAUAGUCAGUAAGUGAUAAGCCACGUCUGUAGCUAAAGGGAAGUCUAAUUUUAACUCACCUGACAUUGUUUUGCCUAGUGCGUUUGCAUAUGGUAGAGCUGAAGAGGAUUUCAGCUCAAACUGAUCUCCACGCUGUAGUGGAUUUAGAUGAAUUUAUUCAUGUUAUUUCGUUCAAUUAGGUGAAAUGUUACCUGUGAAGAUCUGGCAUUUAUGAGAAAACUGUUACUUUUUUCUGUA